GCCCCCGUAGCUCAGGAGGAUAGAGCACCGGAUUCCUAAUCCGGGUGUCGUGCGUUCGAAUCGCGCCGGGGGCA
rnacentral:tRNA from 1 species